ensembl:lncRNA
GGAGAGAGUGUUAGAAGGACCUCGUGUACGGUAUGCUUUCAACAUGUUAAUGUGACAUGUCCGUAACGAACGCCUACGGUCUGGGGUCUUUAUUACAUAGUUAGUAUCGCUGAGCUUACUAUCAAUCACAUAUGGACCUGAGAAACGGGCUGAGAGAGACGACCCUGGAACGGGCAACAAUGCUAGAACUAGCUCUCCCGGCACAAACGAACGCUCAACAGUCCCCUUAUCAUAACGCAUUUUCAUACGCUUCUGUGCAGUCGAGAGGGACUCUUUAGCUAUUGCGCAGGCUGCAUGUAGCCUCUCCCUCAUCUGGCCAACGAAGUCCAUCACAUUCUUAGGGGCACUGACAGACGUGGGGGACAAAACGUUUUCCUUCAGAACCUUCAACGGUCCUCUUAGUGUAUGUCCGAACACUAAAUCAGCAGGGCUAAAACCUAACGACUCUUGCACUGUUUCCCUACUAGCAAACAACACAAAUGGCACUCCCUCAUCCCAAUUUGGAUUAUCCAUACAGUAUUUUCGGAGCAUCGAUUUGAGGGUCUGGUGCCACCGCUCGAGUGCUCCCUGGCUUUCCGGAUGAUACGCACUCGAGACCUGGGACGACCACCUGCUUGACAACCCCUAAACCC